UGAGGGUGUAGUAUAUUAUCAUACUUUACAUUGUUAACUUGAAGAUACAAAACGAUACAGCAUCAGAAAUUUCAAACUAUGUGGGGGAGACAAUUAGUAUUACUUGUGUUACUAAAAGAUGUGUUCAGCUACUCAGUCGAUGAUACCACAGAUAAUAAAAUCGUGGGUGGGCGUUACAUCGGCAUUGAAUAAGUUCCUUUUCAAGCUUUCGUGUUAACAGAUAAGAAUACUUGUGGAGGAGUCAUAUAUGAUGAAGAAUAUAUUGUGACUGCCGCACAUUGUCUCGAAGAUAUCAAAAGAGCUCAAGUAAGAGUGGGAUUUACCCAAUGGGAUGAUUCGGAAGAAAAAUAUCCAUACAUAAAUGUAACCUAUACCGUGCAUGAAAAAUAUAACAAUCCUGGAAAGAAUACUAAUUUUGAUUUUGAUGUAGCAGUCGUAAAAUUAUCAAAAAAGUUGAAGCUUGAUGGUGUUAAAAUAGCCAAAGCCACCUUCGUCAAACCAGGAAAGGAGCUUGCUGAUGGUACAAACUGUACAGCGUCUGGAUGGGGCGCUACAAGAGAAUACGGGCGACCCUCUGCGUUUUUAAAGGCAACCUUUCUUGAGAAAGUAAAUUAUACUAAAUGUUUAAAAGACUACAAAAAAUAUCUUACACCUAGAAUGGUCUGUGCAGAAGCUCCUGUUGAUCGUUCCACUCAAUUUUCGAAUAUAUGUCGGGGUGAUUCCGGCGGUCCCCUCUUUGUCACUAGUACCAAGGAAGUCUGCGGAUUGUCGUCUUUUCUUUACGAUUGCAAUGAAUAUAUGCCUGCAGUUUUUACUAACUUAGCGGAUCCUGGUAUUAGCGAAUGGAUUAAAAAUCAUACACAAAGCGAAAAUUAAAUCAAGAUAAAUUCAAGAGAAUAUUUCCUUUGAUUAUUUUUCAUUUCAUUUUAUUCGUAUCUUAAAUAUGUGUGUGUGACAAUAUAAUUUAAAAAUAG